rnacentral:rRNA from 1 species
AGAGUUCGAUCCUGGCUCAGGAUGAACGCUGGCGGCGCGCCUAACACAUGCAAGUCGAACGGCACCUAUCUUCGGAUAGAAGCGAGUGGCGAACGGCUGAGUAACACGUGGAGAACCUGCCCCCUCCCCCGGGAUAGCCGCCCGAAAGGACGGGUAAUACCGGAUACCCCGGGGUGCCGCAUGGCACCCCGGCUAAAGCCCCGACGGGAGGGGAUGGCUCCGCGGCCCAUCAGGUAGACGGCGGGGUGACGGCCCACCGUGCCGACAACGGGUAGCCGGGUUGAGAGACCGACCGGCCAGAUUGGGACUGAGACACGGCCCAGACUCCUACGGGAGGCAGCAGUGGGGAAUCUUGCGCAAUGGGGGGAACCCUGACGCAGCGACGCCGCGUGCGGGACGGAGGCCUUCGGGUCGUAAACCGCUUUCAGCAGGGAAGAGUCAAGACUGUACCUGCAGAAGAAGCCCCGGCUAACUACGUGCCAGCAGCCGCGGUAAUACGUAGGGGGCGAGCGUUAUCCGGAUUCAUUGGGCGUAAAGCGCGCGUAGGCGGCCCGGCAGGCCGGGGGUCGAAGCGGGGGGCUCAACCCCCCGAAGCCCCCGGAACCUCCGCGGCUUGGGUCCGGUAGGGGAGGGUGGAACACCCGGUGUAGCGGUGGAAUGCGCAGAUAUCGGGUGGAACACCGGUGGCGAAGGCGGCCCUCUGGGCCGAGACCGACGCUGAGGCGCGAAAGCUGGGGGAGCGAACAGGAUUAGAUACCCUGGUAGUCCCAGCCGUAAACGAUGGACGCUAGGUGUGGGGGGACGAUCCCCCCGUGCCGCAGCCAACGCAUUAAGCGUCCCGCCUGGGGAGUACGGCCGCAAGGCUAAAACUCAAAGGAAUUGACGGGGGCCCGCACAAGCAGCG